GCCGGAGAUGUUGGCGCCGACGGACACCGCCACGAACAGGGCGAAGGCGUGGGCCACCGCCGCCGCGAUCAGCCCGGCGGGGGUCGUCGCUCCGCCGCCGGUCAGCUUGCUGAAGGCCAUGCCGGAGCCCUGGCCGGCGAAGACGAAGAUGAGGGUGGAGAUGAACUCGGCCAACGCCGCCUUGAGUGCACCCGGGUGGUACACCUCCUGGUGGCUCCCCACGGCGAUGUUGCGGAUCGGCAUCUUGCACUACUCCCUUCUGCUGCUCUCUCACUCAAACUAGAAGAGCUCAGAAAUGGAGUGGUGUGUG
rnacentral:misc_RNA from 1 species